AUCCAGCUGACGAGUCCCAAAUAGGACGAAACGCACUUUCUGGAU
rfam:Schistosoma mansoni strain Puerto Rico chromosome 4, complete genome